rnacentral:rRNA from 1 species
UACGUAGGGUGCAAGCGUUAAUCGGAAUUACUGGGCGUAAAGCGUGCGCAGGCGGUUUUGUAAGUCUGACGUGAAAUCCCCCGGGCUCAACCUGGGAAUUGCGUUGGAGACUGCAAGGCUGGAGUCUGGCAGAGGGGGGGUAGAAUUCCACGUGUAGCAGUGAAAUGCGUAGAGAUGUGGAGGAACACCGAUGGCGAAGGCAGCCCCCUGGGUCAAGACUGACGCUCAUGCACGAAAGCGUGGGGGACA